rnacentral:rRNA from 1 species
AUUGAACGCUGGCGGCAGGCUUAACACAUGCAAGUCGAGCGAGCGGCGGACGGGUGAGUAAUGUCUGGGAAACUGCCUGAUGGAGGGGGAUAACUACUGGAAACGGUAGCUAAUACCGCAUACCCUCAGAUGUGCCCAGAUGGGAUUAGCUAGUAGGUGGGGUAAUGGCUCACCUAGGCGACGAUCCCUAGCUGGUCUGAGAGUAUGACCAGCCACUCUGGAACUGAGACACUGUCCAGACUCCUACGGGAGGCAGCAGUGGGGAAUAUGGCACAAUGGGCGCAAGCCGGAGGCAGCCAUGCCGCGUGUAUGAAGAAGGCCUUCGGGUUGUAAAGUACGUUCAGCGAGGAGGCGUUACUCGCAGAAGAAGCACCGGCUAACUCCGUGCAAGCAGCCGCGGUAAUAC